UACAGAGGGUGCAAGCGUUGUUCGGAUUCAUUGGGCGUAAAGGGCGCGUAGGCGGCGCGGUAAGUCGGGUGUGAAAUCUUGGAGCUUAACUCCGAAACUGCAUUCGAUACUGCCGUGCUUGAGGACUGGAGAGGAGACUGGAAUUUACGGUGUAGCGGUGAAAUGCGUAGAUAUCGUAAGGAAGACCAGUGGCGAAGGCGGGUCUCUGGACAGUUCCUGACGCUGAGGCACGAAGGCCAGGGGAGCAAACGGG
rnacentral:rRNA from 1 species